GUUUGGGAGGAUGGAUACUGAGAGCCUGAGCAAGCCAGCUCUCCAGCUCAGCUGGCAACCACACAGAAGAGCAUGCUUCUGGAUUCCAGAAAAAUGAGGUCAGUUCUUCAACAUCAAUCAAUGCGUGGUGGUUGCUUCUAGCAAGUGUUUCGCUUCACUUAUUUUAGUGACUAGGAAGCGGAAACCCAGAAGUUAAGCAAUGCUCUUCCCCACCCCCAGCUGAUGCGUCUCUUUUUGGAGGUAGCCGGGGGUCCUCCUCAAGCAAGCCCCCGCCCCACGAACUGGAGUCCACGCAGCAAAGACUGGACGCCGCCCCAGGGGCUGCCUUUCCAAGUACUUCUCGGUG